rnacentral:rRNA from 1 species
UACGUAGGGGGCUAGCGUUGUCCGGAAUCAUUGGGCGUAAAGCGCGUGUAGGCGGCCAGGUAGGUCCGCUGUGAAAACCCGAGGCUCAACCUCGGGACGUCGGCGGAAACCAUCUGGCUAGAGUCCGGAAGAGGAGAGUGGAAUUCCCGGUGUAGCGGUGAAAUGCGCAGAUAUCGGGAAGAACACCCGUGGCGAAGGCGGCUCUCUGGGACGGUACUGACGCUGAGACGCGAAAGCGUGGGGAGCAAACAGG